GCACUUCCAAAGUACAUAUACUAAAAUUGGAAUGAUACAGAAGAUUAGCAUGGCCCCUGCAGUUGAAGUAUGAAUGCUUUCUAAACUGAUGCCUCUACUU